UGGGCAUAGUUUCAUAAGAAGCGUGGCCCGUUUUAAAGUAGCCUAAAACUGCUUCGGCAGUCUAGCGGGAAGAUUAGCCAUUUUUUACACUCAGGUUUAGGUCGCUCCCAGGUGCUUCCAUUAGAUUCGCUUGUUUCCUAGCUCUGGAUGCAGCGCCCUGGGCGGGACUAGCGGCUUGGCGCCCCCGGCUUCACGCCGGCCGUUUGAUGCGCACCCGGUGUGCGCUGUUCGUGUUUGCUACGCCCUUCGCCGCAUCCGGAAUUGUAGUUGGGGGUGGUGGCUGGCCGCAGUCAACCCCAGGGUCUCAUUUUAGAGUUAGAAGCAGGGCCUGCACUGUAAGGCGGGCGCGGUCGGGAAACAGGAAGGGCCCUGCUUUUGAAACGCAGAAGCGUGUAAUGGCAAGCACCUUGGUGUACAACAUCGGCGCUUUCACUACUACUGUGGUGAAGCGGCAUGGGUUUUUCAUUAGAGACUGUUAUACUUUGUCUAAGGGGCACACGGGAAGUAAUAAUACCCACAAGGCCUCAGUCUUUGUCUUAAGAAUGAAACGUUGACACGUUUUUAUGAUAGGGCGGGUGGGCGGGUGGUUUGGCCAUACGUGUGUUUGAAAUGUUGCCCAUCUCCGGACAUACCACUGCGUCGUGGUGUCGAUCCGUCGACACCAUGACGCAGCUCCUCGUUUCUUUCACAGGGAGCCGGCUUACGCGGCUGAGACGCUGCGCGGCGGAGGACCCGACAAGCGGCGACUCCCGCCUGCGGACCCCUCGCCUGCCAGGACCCAGUGAUGACGCCGAAGACGCCACCGCACGCCGUGAGUAGCUCCACUUUUAAGUCGUCGGCGUACGGGGGAUGGGCAUAGUUUCAUAAGAAGCGUGGCCCGUUUUUAAGUAGCCUAAAACUGCUUCGGCAGUCUAGCGGGAAGAUUAGCCAUUUUUUACACUCAGGUUUAGGUCGCUCCCAGGUGCUUCCAUUAGAUUCGCUUGUUUCCUAGCUCUGGAUGCAGCGCCCUGGGCGGGACUAGCGGCUUGGCGCCCCCGGCUUCACGGACCCGGCUUCGUGCCGGCCGUUUGAUGCGCACCCGGUGUGCGCUAUUCGUGUUUGCUACGCCCUUCGCCGCACCCGGAAUUGUAGUGGGGGGUGGGCGCGGGCCGCAGUCAACCCCAGGGUCUCAUUUUAGAGCUAGAAGCAGGGCCUGCACUGUAAGGCGGGCGCGGUCGGGAAACAGGAAGGGCCCUGCUUUUGAAACGCAGAAGCGUGUAAUGGCAAGCACCUUGGUGUACAACAUCGGCGCUUUCACUACUACUGUGGUGAAGCGGCAUGGGUUUUUCAUUAGAGACUGUUAUACUUUGUCUAAGGGGCACACGGGAAGUAAUAAUACCCACAAGGCCUCAGUCUUUGUCUGAAGAAUGAAACGUUGACACGUUUUUGUGAUAGGGCGGGUGGGCAGGUGUUUGGGUGGUUUGGCCAUACGUGUCUUUGAAAUGUUGCCCAUCUCCGGACAUACCACUGCGUCGUGGUGUCGAUCCGUCGACACCAUGACGCAGCUCCUCGUUUCUUUCACAGGGAGCCGGCUUACGCGGCUGAGACGCUGCGCGGCGGAGGACCCGACAAGCGGCGACUCCCGCCUGCGGACCCCUCGCCUGCCAGGACCCAGUGAUGACGCCGAAGACGCCACCGCACGCCGCUCGCCUUCGCUGUAUUCUUCUCCGAAGUGUCUGCAAGACAUCCCAUCUGAUGGUAAGUCACUCUUUGUUCUUUUGUCUAUCCUUUACAGGUUAAAUGCAUUAUUCUUUCUAAUACAUGUUAUAAUAACUAUUUCAAUAAACAGUUAAUACAA